rnacentral:rRNA from 1 species
UACGGGGGGGGCAAGCGUUGUUCGGAAUUACUGGGCGUAAAGGGCUCGUAGGCGGCCAACUAAGUCAGACGUGAAAUCCCCAGGCUCAACCUGGGAACUGCGUCUGAUACUGGAUGGCUUGAAUCCGGGAGAGGGAUGCAGAAUUCCAGGUGUAGCGGUGAAAUGCGCAGAUAUCAGGAGGAACACCAAUUGCGAAGGCAGCUCGCUGGGACGUUACUGACGCUGAGACGCGAAAGCGUGGGGAGCAAACAGG